rnacentral:rRNA from 1 species
AACGCGAAGAACCUUACCAGGAUUCGACAUGCCCUCUAUGGAAAUCCGAAAAGAUUUCCUUCACUUCGGGUGGGAGGAGCACAGGUGCUGCAUGGCUGUCGUCAGCUCGUGUCGUGAGAUGUUGGGUUAAGUCCCGCAACGAGCGCAACCCUCGUCCUCUGUUGCUAACAGGUUAGGCUGAGCACUCUGAGGAAACUGCCGGUGAUAAGCCGGAGGAAGGUGGGGAUGACGUCAAGUCCUCAUGGCCCUUACAUCCUGGGCUACACACGUGUUACAAUGGUGGUGACAAUGGGUCGCGAUCCCGCAAGGGCUAGCUAAUCCCCAAAAGCCACCUCAGUUCGGAUUGUACUCUGCAACUCGAGUACAUGAAGCUGGAAUCGCUAGUAAUCGUGGAUCAGCACGCCACGGUGAAUACGUUCCCGGGCCUUGUCACACCGGUACUA